CUCCUCAGUGUGAUGCAAAUGAGGCCACAGUGACGGGGGUGACGUGAGGGCUGCGUAGGGGGGAAUGAAGAAAUAGCGAUGUUUUAAAACCGGACCCUGAAAAUAAGUAGGAACAAGGAGCUGCCUGGUGCGAGCGAGCUCACCACUGUUGAUCCCAUCAGGCUGCAGUCUUCUGCUCCUCUUUGAACAUAUCAAGAAAUGAGCCUACUACAAUUCUUCUGGUCGCCCAUCUGCACUUGAAUUAAACUUCAUUUUGCUGAAUUCUACAAAGUUGUUCGCCCCGGUUGCAGCCUCUGGAAUACCAAAGCAGCUCUUGGGUGAGAAGCCAAAUUGCUGUCCUUGACCAUGACGGAGAAGUUGAGGCUAUUGAAAGGCAGUGUUGUGAUGCUCACGGAGACCCUGUGGAGCCCCGUGAGGCACGGGCCAGGGAGUUCCCCCUUGCAAAGUCCAUCUUGGGGCUGAAUUUGGUGAUGCUCCUUCCCCAACGAUGCUUGGGCAGUGGCUGGUGAGGUGCUUAGCAGGGGUGGAGGUCUCAGAGGGCAUCUGAGAUGCUUUUGUUGCUUUUGCAGUCAGGUCCUUGCCCAAGAUUUUGCCACCCCUCUUGGCAGAUGGUCCAGUAGCUGCAUAUCCUUUCUAUUAAUACUUGUUUCAUUUCCCAUUUGAACUUCCCCAGCAUCUUCUUGCAGCUAUUAGACCUUGCAAUAUCCUUUUCCUCCCAGUUUAAGAGCUCCCUAACAUCGGGCAUCUCCUCCCUUUCCAUUCUCCUCUACCACACACUACCAUGGGCCACCUAAGGUAGGAAAAUUAGUGAGUAAACUGGGCAGGUAUGACCUGGAGUCACUGGGAGCCAACAAAUCCACACCUUGUAGCUUAAUGUCCUUCCACAGGAGACCAUCAUGGCCAUGACAGCCGGGUCUUUAAUGAUAGCAGUACCUGGCCAGAAGAGACAUUUCCAUCCAAAGAUCCAUAUCAUAACCUUUUAUCACAGAAAAGGCCCAUUUUUUUUCCUGUUUCUGCAUAAAAUGCAAGGUGGAAACCAUAAGCCCUGGUGAAACCCACCCUCUGCCUCGCUGCCCUGGUGAACGCUGGCCACGGUUCGGGAUGCGCCCGUGCCGUGAUCUGCACAGCAGCUGCCUGGCAAACAGCUCGCGUUAAUUGAUAACUCUGCUGGGAAAUCCAUACCAUUAAAUUCUCCGCUUAAUUGUCUGUAUCAGCGCUUACUUCUGCACAGUCGCAAAUCAGGCAGCUUUUUAAUGGGCCGGCUGCUAUUAAGCAAGACAAGUCAAACAGCAAGAAGCUUGCUUGAAGAGGAAUGAAAACAUGACAUCGGGGUUUAUACUGGAGGACAGAGUUGAUGUUGCAGCUGAGAUCAGGGUAGAAGCUGUGGCCCAGAGAGAUGCUAAGAGAUUGGCCUUCCCCUGAAAAGCUAGCAAGGUAAAUCAGCAGAGGAAGGGUUAUCCGUGAUUAUAUCUACAGAACGUAACUCAGGUAUCACAAAUCAAGCUCUGGAAGCACAGGGCUACUUGAGCAUUUACUCUUCUCUAUCCUGAAUCCUCCUUGAAUCCUACGUGGGGGUGACCCCGGGUGACACAAGUGUGGGAAACAGGGCUCAGGUCCCCAGUCCCUUGGCCAUCUGAGCAGCCUUUUGCUCAGCAGUGCAUAAUUAGAGGAGAGCUGGGCUUACUCUAACGGCUUUCCUCUCCCACAUCGAUCUGAUCUGCUAUGUGAACACUUGCCUGCUUAUGAAUAAGCGACUUCAGAGGAAAAUGCCCAAGUUCUGAAAAAAAGACGGUGUUGCAAAGCCUGGUCUAGGGAUGUGCUGCAAUAUUAAACUCAGCCGUGUCAGCCCAGCCCUGCAGCACUUCAGGGUAAUCCGCACUUAAGGAGAUGAGGUUGGGGCAAGCGUCCUGGCUAAACCCCAGCUGGGUUUGCAGCCAGGCAGCUGAACUGCUGUGCAGAAUGAGGAGAUACCACCUAAAGGGCAGCUUGGAGAAUGCAGAUGUGAGCAUUUCCUACCCUCU